AGGCAUGUGCGGACGAUGGCUUC
rnacentral:piRNA from 1 species